rnacentral:ribozyme from 17 species
AAAAAAAAACAGAAGGAAAAAAAGGAAGAAGAAGAAAAAGAGAAAACCAUCGACUAUUGAUUGUUGUUCAAUACAGAUGGGUUAGUGGUUUUCUUUCAUCGGAUUUGUGUU